CCAACGGCCCUCUUUAGGGCCACAAAUCUUAUAAUCCUAUGUUAUU
rfam:Caenorhabditis elegans chromosome IV